GACGAACGCUGGCGGCGUGCUUAACACAUGCAAGUCGAACGGAAAGGCCCUGCUUUUGUGGGGUGCUCGAGUGGCGAACGGGUGAGUAACACGUGAGUAAACUGCCCUUGACUUUGGGAUAACUCAAGGAAACUGGGGCUCAUAUCGGAUAGGAGAUUCUGCUGCACGGUGGGGGUUGGUAAGUUUAGGCGGUUGGGGAUGGACUCGCGGCUUAUCAGCUUGUUGGUGGGGUAGUGGGUUACCAAGGCCUUGACGGGUAGCUGGCCUGAGAGGGUGACAGGCCACAGUGGGACUGAGAUACGGGCCAGACUCAUACGGGAGGCAGCAGUGGGGAAUAAUGCGCAAUUGGCGGAAGCCUGGUGCAGCAUCGCCGCGUGCGGGAUGACGGCCUUCGGGUAGUAAACCGCUUUCGCCUGUGACGAAGCGUGUGUGACGGUAAUUGGUAAAGAAGCACCGGCUAACUACGUG
rnacentral:rRNA from 1 species